ACKGCUCAGUAACACGUGGACAACCUAACCUACAGAGGGGGAUAACCCCGGGAAACUGGGGAUAAUACCCCAUAGACUAUGGAUGCUGGAAUGCUUCGUAGUUGAAAGGUCCGCCGCUGUAGGAUGGGUCUGCGGCCGAUUAGGUUGUUGUUGGGGUAACGGCCCAACAAGCCUGUAAUCGGUACGGGUUGUGGGAGCAAGAGCCCGGAGAUGGAUUCUGAGACACGAAUCCAGGCCCUACGGGGCGCAGCAGGCGCGAAAACUUUGCAAUGCGGGAAACCGUGACAAGGGAACUCUGAGUGCCCGUAAAAUCGGGCUGUCCAUCGGUUUAAAUAACCGGUGAAGAAAGGGCCGGGCAAGACCGGUGCCAGCCGCCGCGGUAAUACCGGCGGCUCGAGUGGUGGCCACUAUUACUGGGCUUAAAGCGUUCGUAGCUGGUUUGUUAAGUCUCUGGGGAAAUCUUCCGGCUUAACCGGAAGGCGUCUCAGGGAUACUGGCAGACUAGGGACCGGGAGAGGUGAGAGGUACUCCAGGGGUAGGAGUGAAAUCCUGUAAUCCUUGGGGGACCACCUGUGGCGAAGGCGUCUCACCAGAACGGCUCCGACAGUGAGGGACGAAAGCUGGGGGAGCAAACCGGAUUAGAUACCCGGGUAGUCCCAGCUGUAAACGAUGCGCGUUAGGUGUAUCAGUGACCACGAGUCACUGAGGUGCCGAAGAGAAUCGUGAAACGUGCCGCCUGGGAAGUACGGUCGCAAGGCUGAAACUUAAAGGAAUUGGCGGGGGAGCAC
rnacentral:rRNA from 1 species